rnacentral:rRNA from 1 species
GUGGGGAAUAUUGGACAAUGGGCGAAAGCCUGAUCCAGCCAUGCCGCGUGUGUGAAGAAGGUCUUCGGAUUGUAAAGCACUUUAAGUUGGGAGGAAGGGUAGUAACCUAAUACGUUGCUACUUUGACGUUACCGACAGAAUAAGCACCGGCUAACUUCGUGCCAGCAGCCGCGGUAAUACGAAGGGUGCAAGCGUUAAUCGGAAUUACUGGGCGUAAAGCGCGCGUAGGUGGUUCAGUAAGUUGGAAGUGAAAUCCCCGGGCUCAACCUGGGAACUGCUUUCAAAACUGCUGAGCUAGAGUACGGUAGAGGGUGGUGGAAUUUCCUGUGUAGCGGUGAAAUGCGUAGAUAUAGGAAGGAACACCAGUGGCGAAGGCGACCACCUGGACUGAUACUGACACUGAGGUGCGAAAGCGUGGGGAGCAAACAGGAUUAGAAACCCCUGUAGUCC